UGGUUAAAAAUAUAACACCAUCACCAUCAAUUAUCAAGCAAGAACUCUGCUUCAAUUAAUUAUAGUAACCGGCCUGUCUUAGAAACAAUUUUCUGCAACCAAUUAAAAAUGACAGAGGAGAUGCAAUGAAAUGUAAGCUAUAUGAAUUCCUUCAUAGGAAUGUGUUGUUACUUAUAUGAAUAGGAGAAGAUCCAGAGCACAUCUGACAGGAAAUAUGAUACGAUCUCUCUCCUGGUGCCCUCCGAACCAUCCUCAACUGCACAAGCAAGACAUAAGAUAUUAAGCAAUUUUACAAACACUUCAUCUUUAUAAAUUCAAUGAGUACUCUCUAGCAUAUACUUUGAAAAGAAGAGGUCUUGUUCAUCAUUUCACAAAACCUGCAUAUUAGUAUAGCAAGCAAAGGCAUGCAAAAUACUGGACAUGUUUUGGUUCAUGCACAGAAGCAGAGAAAUAGCAAGAUCUAGAAAAACAGCGCAAGAGUAAUCUUGACAACGCCAUCUCAAAGAAAGACCAGAUGAGGUGAAGAAAAAAAAAUGAUGUAUCUGGAGCAAUUGUUUUCCUCUAGUUACCAUUUGAUUCAAUAUUUUGUCCAAUCUCAAAAUCUAAGAUAUGCCCGUAUCCAAUUAUUAAUAAGUUAACUUGCAACUCUUGGCACAAAACAUGAGCAGCUUGAUAAUAGAAGAGCCCUCAAUUGUCCGCUUUUGAUGAAGGGAAAUCAAUUAGUUUUAAAAUACAUGGGAAAAGUUGAUGUUAAUAACUAAUGUUUCUGCUGAAAUAAAGUAGUCCACAAUAUGGGAAGCAAAAAAAAUGGCAUGAAGGAACACUUGCCGCUUUCACACCCAGUAAAAGUAGUAAUGAUGUAGAAACCGAUGGAAUUCUUUUCUUCUUGUACUCAGUAUUGAUCUCACUUGAUUCAGUUUUGGAAAACGAUUUGCCGGAAGUGGCGUAAGUAUCUGGUAACAAAUUGAAAGAUCAAUAAAUAUGCACCAGUUGACCAUAUAACUUUCCAAAAGAAGAACAAGAUGAUUUAUUCCUGUAGUGACUAUUGCAGAAGAAUAUAGCCGAACAAAAGAACUCAUAUCAGAAGUUAAAUAGACACCCAUGUCAGGUUCAUAAACUGUGAUGCUAGCUUUUGGUCAUUUUCUUGUUUCACGAGCACAAUUAUUCGGUUGUUGUAUCAUAUUACUGAGAGGACAAGGAAAAUCAUGCUCGCCAAUUCUUUUCAUCCGAACAACCAUAAAUAUUGUUUGAAACCUAAAAGCACACGGUAAAGAAUUGAUUGAAAGAAACUUGGAGAACAAAAAUCUAAUUAGAGGACAUGCUACCUUAUUUGCUGAUUUAAUCUCAGAUGAGUUGGUUUCUUUAUCAAUACUGUAAUUGUUGCUUUCACAAGAUGCAACAGAAGCACCAUUUACUCUUGAAAGAAGAUUUUGAUUUGAUCCAUUCAUGUUGUUGAUACAGUAAUAGAUUAGUAUCAAGAAUAUAGCUAUCAGUUGUUGCAAAGGAUGACUCUCAUACAGUGUCAAAAUUCAUGUCAAGCAGCUGUCUGUCACCCCUUGGAAGAAGUGAAUUCAGGUUACUCAAGAAUCGUCGGAACCAAAAUCAGACAACGCAAAACUGAAACAGAACCGCCAGUUCAAGGUCAGCGGGAGCGGGGGUGUGGCGGCGGCCAUGCCCGAGUC
rnacentral:lncRNA from 1 species